rnacentral:tRNA from 1 species
GCCGGGGUGGCGGAACUGGCAGACGCACAGGACUUAAAAUCCUGCGAUCGUUUAGAUCGUACCGGUUCGAUUCCGGUCCUCGGCA